rnacentral:tRNA from 1 species
GCUGGUGUAGCUCAGCAGGUAGAGCAGCGCAUUCGUAAUGCGCAGGUCUUCGGUUCGAGUCCGAAUACCAGCUCCA